CUGAAUUUCUGGACCUCAUCGCUGAUGUUCUCCUUGACCACGGCGUACAGUGGAACCCCAAGCUGGUCCAGCUGGGGCUUCAGAGAGGACAGCUCUGCAGCUUCCUGGAUGACAGCGUGUUAAGCUUCCAUCAUGCUAAGUGAUGUGCGGGUGCCGAAUUGACCUGUGGCGUUACCGUAACGCGUUAGCAACCAAAAUGUAUUUCACCAACCUCUUCCGAGUCUUGAACAACUGGUGUUGAAUUUGAAUCAGGGGUCACCUCUUCAGUUUUCGCCAACUGGUUGUCAACCGCCGGGACUGGGUUGGACUCAGUUGGUUGAACCUGUGGGGCCUCAACCUGCGGAGCCUCGGCCUGCGUAGGCGCCUCCAACUUUGACUCCACCUGCAUAGACUCGGACUUAGCACACUCAACUUGAGAGGACUCAGCCUCUGUGGACUCCACAAUUGGAUUCUGGACCUGCGUAGACUCCAGUAUUAAGGAGUCCACCAGUGCAGACUCUGAGGUCUCAAUGUGUUGGGAUUCAAUGUCAGAGACUUCAGCUUCAAAGGACUCGGAAAUGGCGGUCUCAGACUGAGCUAGGUCCACCGUUGGAGAUUCCAUCUCUGCAGACUUGGGAUGAGAGGUCUCAGCUUGUUCAGAUUCCAUGUGGGAGACUUUAGCUUGAAAGGUCUCAGCCUGCACAGAGUCCACCAGUGUGGACUCCUUCUGCAUGGACUCGCCCUGUGUAGACUGCACCCGGGGGCUCUGAACUUGGCUGAAUUCACCCGGAGUGGACUCUGCUUGCGCAGAUGCUCCGGAUGUGAGCUCCACCUGGGCAGACUCAACCUGGGAGGUCUCAGCUUGUGCAGAGUCUGGGUAGUAGCUCUCAGCUAGAGAAGAUUCCGAUUGCAUGGACUCCACCUGCCCAGAUUGCACCCGGGGGCUCUGAACUCUGAAUUCAACCGGAAUGGACUCUGCCUGUGCAGAUGCCUCUGGUGUGAACUCCACCUGUGCAGACUCAACCUGGGAAGUCUCAGCUUUUGCAGAGUCUGAGUAGUAGCUCUCAGCUGGAGAAGAUUCCGAUUGCAUGGACUUGGCCUGCACAGACUCCCCUGGCGUGGACCCCAAAUGCACAUCCUCUGCCUGGGAGCUCUCAACUUGUGUUGACUCCACAUUGGAGGACUUGUCUGGGACAUCUGCUUGGUAGGUCUCAGCCUGGAUGGAUUCUAUAGACUCUGCCUGGGACGUAUCAACCUGCCAGGACUCCCCCUGCUUAGCUUCUCCUUCCAUGGACUUAACUUGGGUGGAUUUCAUUUCUGCAGACUCAUAUGGCUCAGACUCUAUCUGUGAAGACUCUGUAUGAGAGGUCCCAGCUGGUGUGGUUUCAAUCUGGGAUGAGGAUUCCAUCAUUGCAGAUUCAGCAUUCUCGUCCUUCUGGUGAAAAGGUGUCAGGAGAAUUCUCUGGGUUCUCCACUCAACUGAAUAUAACCAUUCUUGAACUCACCACGUUCUCCUCUCGGGAUUUCUCCACUUCGGGCUGGUCCUGCUGAAUGAUGCCGGUCGGCGGAGAGACAACUGGAGCAGUUACGUUAUUAGUCGUCUUCACCUGGUGGACAAAUGAACACGUGUCUCUCCGCAAGAUGGAUCCCAAACCAGCUAAGGUCUCUCUUUCUUCCCCCAUACAUAGCACACCCUAACCCCAUGCUCAUAGGUCAACACACUUUGCAUGCACAUGCAGAAGAACCACCACCAAACACGUUUUGAAGUUGUUGUUUUUUCACCUC